UUGAAAAAACAUAAAAUUGGAAAUGCCCAAGUUCUGCACCCAUAGACGCAGAGAACAUUUCCUUUUUCGGAAAUGAUGUGAGCAUUUGGCCUACAAUAUGUGUACAUAUGUACACAGAGA
rnacentral:rRNA from 10 species